rnacentral:lncRNA from 1 species
AUAUUCGUAAUUAUCAGAAUCGCAAAACAAUCUUCAUCGGAGCUCCACAGACAGGCAGCUGACCUUUCCUUGAGGGGCAGCUGGGGACAGAUCUGGAAGGUUGGUACCAUUCUGGGCCAGCCACGUGCAAAAAUAACUCCCAGGUGUUUUGGAAGCAGUCACUUCUUCCGGGUUUCCUGGAUAUUGAGGAAGCUGCUGCUCUUCUGGCCAGAGGUCUCCAUGGAAUUCCUCCUUCUGAGACAUGAGAGCUGGAUGGUGAUGAGAUCAGCUUUCCUGCAAUGGGAAAGCAAGGAAUCCCCCAGCUACAACCUAAGAGUGGGCACAAACCUGUCACAUGCUCUAUUCCACAUCAAAAGAUGCCUUUUAUUCAGAUUUAACAAAUUAGGCAGGUAGGGAUAAUCAAGCUAUGUUUCAGCAUACUUUUAAGGAGUUGUCAUUAUCCUAAUUAUAAUUAAGCCACUUGAAAUAAAUUCAGAGAUAGUAAACA